UUCACAAUGGAGAUUGUUGCUUUUUUAUAAAAGCAACUAAGUUAACUAAGUUAUAAUGGAUCAUUCGAGAGAGUAUCUUGACAACGAAAUCGACCCGUCGAGGUUCGACUAUUUCGGACUGGCUGUGUGAAACGCGCCUUGUUUGACAGAUGGGAAGUAACUUCGCUGCAUUCUGUUUGCCUUAUUAGAUAAAAAGAGAAAGACUAAAAGUUCGUAACGCAUGCGAGAAGUUUCAAGACAUGCGACUAGCUACCUAGUCAACGUUAGCUAGCUGGCAAAAUUCAAUGGCAUCUGUCUUGGAGGAUCCCACCCUUGAGAGGUGUUUUAAGGGACACAAAGAUGCUGUCACUUGUGCAGAUUUCAGUCCCAGCCAUAAGCAGUUGGCCACUGGAUCCAAUGACAAGAAUCUAAUGAUCUGGAACCUCAACCCAAAAGCCAGAGCUUUUAGAUUUGUGGGUCAUAAGGAUAUCAUAACUGCAGUCCAUUUCUCCCCGUCUGGUGACUUGGUAGCUUCUGCAUCCAGGGACAAGACUGUUCGACUUUGGGCACCGAACAUCAAAGGAGAGUCAACUGUGUUCAAAGCACACACAGCCACGGUACGCAGUGUGAGCUUCUCCAGUGAUGGUCAGAGACUGGUUACUGGCUCGGAUGAUAAGUCAGUGAAAGUGUGGAGUGUGCAUCGACAGAAAUUCAUCUACUCCCUUAAUCAGCACACCAACUGGGUGCGCUGUGUGAGGUUUUCACCAGAUGGACGAUUAGUCGCAUCCUGUGGGGAUGAUAGAACUGUUCGUCUGUGGGACACAUCAACCCACCAGUGCAUCAACACUUUCUCUGACUAUGGCGGGCCAGCAACAUUUGUGGACUUCAAUGCCAGUGGUACUUGCAUUGCAUCAUCAGGAGCAGACAACACACUUAAAAUAUGGGACAUCCGAACAAAUAAACUUAUCCAACAUUACCAGGUCCACAGUGCAGCGAUCAAUGGCUUUUCUUUCCACCCAUCUGGAAACUACCUGAUCAGCGGUUCCAGUGACAGCACAGUAAAGAUCCUGGAUCUGCUGGAAGGAAGGCUCAUUUACACUCUUCAUGGCCACAAGGGUCCAGUUCUGGCAGUGGCAUUUUCUCGAGACGGUCAUCUUUUUGCCUCUGGUGGAGCUGAUUCGCAGGUUCUGAUGUGGAAGACCAACUUUGAUCUGCUGAACUACAGGGAAGUGUUAAGCAGUCACAGCAAGCGUGUAACCCCAGAUCCCCCUCCUCACCUGACGGACAUCUACCCCAGGUCCCCCCACCGUCACCACACCCAGAAUGGAACUGUUGAGAUUAAUCCUGCUGUUACUGACAUCCAGUCAGCUGAUCCUCAUGUGGUGGAGGUAGGAGAGGCUCCGUUCUCCAUGACGGGCGUGAGUGGACGUGCAGGUGGGGUCCCAGGUUACAGAGAUCGCCCAGGCACCAGCAGAGCCUCAGCUUCCACCUAUACUCAUGCAUACGAGGAGCAAGAGGAAGAUGAAGAGGAGGAAAGCCCGGGACUUGGGGUCACAUACCUGUUGGAUGAACGCUCAGGACUUCCACCAGCUUUUAGAAGCACUCUAGAGCACAUUGUCCAACAGCUGGACAUUCUGACGCAGACUGUGGCUGUUCUUGAGGAGCGCCUCACCUUGACAGAAGACAAGUUAAAAGAGUGUCUGGACAACCAGGCCGUUAUUCUCCAGACGCUCCACACGGAUGAGCUCCACGAGGAGAGGGGCGCUGAGGGGCCGGCUGUGUGAGAGGCUGACCCUCUUCAGCUGCCACUUCAGGGAUUAUUGUCUCCGACCUGAACCUCGUGGCUUUCCUCUGGGUGGAGGUCAGGCGGAAGUGGGGAGAGGCGAGACACAAAGGGUCCGGCAGCUCGUGUUUGCUUUGGGUACCACAUCCUUCCCAAGUGUUGGCGCGCUGCUCCACUCCUCCCCACACUUGUACUCUCACACAGAGAAUGUACGCCACUGGCCGGGGGACACAAAAACAAAACAUUUAGUCCACUUAAAAUGAAAUCUGCAAGUGGAAACCUUUAGGGUCCAAGCACCAUUUCAUAAAAAGUUCUGAUUUUGUUUAAAAAAAAACAAAAAAAAAAACACUUUUUGAGCACUCUGCAUUUUUAAAGUACUCUUUUUUUCAAAUUACAUCCACCAGUCUCUGCACACCAUUUCAUCAUGCAGCAGACACACGUGUUAUGUUUGAUUUUGGUCAGAUAGCAUUGUUGAGUUUAUGAUGCAGUGAUAAAAAUGAAAAAUGCUUGAUCGCCAACAAGAUUGUGAUAAAGUUCAGGGGCCUCUGGAAAACAGUCAUACACAUAGUUUUGAUCUAAAAUAAUGUUACAUGUGUAAGAUUCAUGUGUAAGUAGGGAUUUAUAAAAAGUGAAUUUGACGUGAAAAUUGAUGUGCAUUUUUGAAUGAGAGUCUGAGUGUGCUCCAGGCAUUUAGUGAUUGUCUGUGUGAUUUAUUUUUUAUUUACUUUUUAUAAAUCAAUCAAACGCUUAUACUGAGAAUUUACCUUAAGAACACAUUAAGUAUGAAAUUAAAAAGUUUUUUUAAUGAGGCCACUGUUUUAAGGCUACGGGCUGCCACGCACAGUGGCACCACUCAGCAUCUUACUUUUCCUGUACUAUGUUAAACCCAGACCAUAGAUCUCAGUCUAAAGUCUAUAAUAUAAACAGACAAAUGCUGAUACAAACAUUACUACCCCAGUCACACUGUAUAUCACAUUGUACCUUUGAGCUGGAAAAAAGCAAGUUUGUGAAUAUUUAGAUAACUAUUACCAAACAGUGUUGGUUUUAUUCCAUUAAAUCUAUCCUUAAAUCAAAAUUUUUGGUAGAGUAUAAAAUGAAAUUCAGCUUGAAGUUUAUCUUCACUUUUCCAAGAUGCUUCCUAUGUGCUAUAGCUGCAUUUUGUACUUUCUGCUAAACGCCGCCCGCCCCUUUGGCGGUGCCACACUUGGCUUCUACGGUGUGUGGUAGACUUUAGCCGGCUGCAGUAAAAUUUCUAUGCUUUCGUAUUUGGACUAAACAGAUAAGAAACUGACCAAAAAUGUUGACCCUUGAGCUCCCUAUGGUGGAAAAUAGAGUUCACACACCUAUUGGUUCUCAAAUAGAAAAAUGUAUAAUGAAUAUAUAAUGAAGCCAAUUUGUAGAUCUACAAUACUAAUGUACUGCUCAAUUUUCAUAAAGGCCUAGUCCAGUAUUCCAAAAUUCCUCCAUUCCCAGCCUCAGCCCCUAAUAAAAGGCUCAUGAAGAGGAUCUCUUUAGUUGAUCAUAUGUACACUUCUGUAUAGUCCUGCAGACAUAUAAAAGUGAUUUAAA